rnacentral:piRNA from 1 species
UACAUCUGCUAUCGUCUGGAGUUCCUGC